GCCAGGCAACGUCUGGGAGCAACCUCAACUUUCAAAGAAAGUUCAACAACUACAGCAGCAGCCACCCGGGAGCCUGCCACCCUCAUCCCAGCAAUCCCAGGGCCCCUUUAACAAGAGCUAUAGCAAUGGGGGACCCAUCCAUGGCACAUUAAACUAGACCCCACCGGCAGCACGUGUGGCAGACUCUAAUACCAGCCUGCACUGUCACUGCUUCCCAAAUCGACACUUUGUAUCCAGCGUUGAAUCAUUCUAUUGAUACCUGUAGAUACCUGUAUUGAAGUGUACUUGGCUAAAUUUAUUGAUCAC